UGGGGAAUUUUGCACAAUGGGCGAAAGCCUGAUGCAGCAACGCCGCGUGUGUGAUGAAGGUCUUCGGAUCGUAAAGCACUUCCGACCGGGAAGAACACCCUUUGGCUAACAUCCAAAGGCUUGACUGUACCGGGAGAAGAAGCACCGGCUAACUCUGUGCCAGCAGCCGCGGUAAUACAGAGGGUGCAAGCGUUGUUCGGAAUUAUUGGGCGUAAAGCGCGUGUAGGCGGCUUUGCAAGUCGGGUGUGAAAGCCCUCAGCUUAACUGAGGAAGUGCGCCCGAAACUGCAGAGCUUGAGUACCGGAGAGGAUGGUGGAAUUCCAGAAGUAGAGGUGAAAUUCGUAGAUAUCUGGAGGAACACCGGCGGCGAAGGCGACCAUCUGGACGGAUACUGACGCUGAGACGCGAAAGCGUGGGUAGCAAA
rnacentral:rRNA from 1 species